UACGUAGGGCGCAAGCGUUGUCCGGAAUUAUUGGGCGUAAAGAGCUCGUAGGCGGCUUGUCGCGUCGGCUGUGAAAACCUGGGGCUCAACCCCGGGCCUGCAGCCGAUACGGGCAAGCUAGAAUUCGGUAGGGGAGACUGGAAUUCCUGGCGUAGCGGUGAAAUGCGCAGAUAUCAGGAGGAACACCGGUGGCGAAGGCGGGUCUCUGGGCCGAUAUUGACGCUGAGGAGCGAAAGCGUGGGGAGCGAACAGG
rnacentral:rRNA from 1 species